UGUUUUUAAAUUAAAUUUUAUUUGUUUUGUAAUUUUUGUUAUAUCGCAUGGAAUUUUUUGAAUUGUUAAUUGAAUUGUUAAUUUUGCAAUACUUUUAUUUUUUAAUUCACAUUGAAAAACUAAUGCAGAUCAAAUAAGUGCAUAAUAAGAUGACCAUUUGGUUGGAAAUUGGGAUUGAUAUUAGUGAAGUGCCGGAUACCACUAUAUGAAGGACAUUGCGAAUUUUAAAUAUUGGAGCCUUGAAAGAAAUGGGCUCAAAAGGCAACAGCAAUAACCCACAAAACGAGAAAAACAUCAAUUAUCCAAAACCAUGAAAGCCGGCAAUUUCAUAUAUUAACUGCAACUCAAUGCCGAUUUUUUUUUUUUUUUGGGAAAGUAUAUUUUUUUUUCAAACAGAAAUGGCAUAAUAUUGCAACCUAUACGGUUUAUAUAAUUCAAUUCAAUUUGAAUAUUAUGGUGUUCCUAAAAGUAAUUAUUAAACAAAUAAAUUAGGGACCGGCAACGCUGACCGGUUCAGCUAGUAA